CUCUUGCAUUCUACAACAACCAAAUAAGAAUGCAGUCACUCAAAAUUCUUCUUCUACACAGAAAAUAGACCACAAAAUAAGAAUGCAAAUAGAGCUUCUUGAGCUGCUAAGAGGUGUCUCGUAUAAUCUAUGAAUCAUGUAUCAUAUUGAAGGGAUCUUUUGCAUGGUGGCAAUUUUUUUUUUUGACAAUUGCAUGGUGGCAAUUUGAACGGACUGAAAGUUGUAUUGAUAGAUGGAGACUCUACUCCCAGUGCUUUCCUCAGAAAGCUCUUUUCCUGAAAUAUGAAGUGUUAAAACAAUGUUGCAAACGGAUGGGCCACAUAGAUAUUCUCAGUCCCAAUUGCAAUCUGUUCUACGAUUUGGAAAGAACCACAAUGGGGACAAUGUGCAUAAGGAGAUUGCAGCAACAGAGGACAACGAGUUCCUGCACUCCAGUGGGGUUCGCUCCAUCCUCUUCCAUGGAUUAGUCCUCGAAAUGGGUUAACAGCAAUCCAUCUUUUUUGAACAAUUGGGUUACUAUCCAUUUCGGUCAGACCAAUUAUUAGACUUAGCCUUGAACCCGACAUACCAAAGGCCAUUUUCAAUUAUCUAUUCCUUGCCUUCCACAAGGCCGUAUAUACUGAUGAUUUCACGACAACCUAAUGGUUGUUAUUCGUGACUCACAAGCAAGCACCGCUGACUGUUUAAGGUUCUCUGCCAAAUGAUUAGCAUCCAGAGGCUCUCGCAGGGGAGGUGCCUAGACUAUUUUAUGUGAUACAGAAUGUGUAGGGUCCGCCUCAAGCUGAUCAAUGUCUGAUUGUUUUGACAGAGGGACUUGGAUUUCCUUGUUUGCAAGGCGUGAUUUUUUAUUUGAUGGUUCUGCCGAAGAAACAUGGUUGGCCAGAGUCUUUCAAGACCAAGAACCAGUAUUGUUGCCCUCCCGCUGCCAUUUCUCUUCAUUUUUUACCAUUUCACCAACAAUUAGUUUGUUGGUUUGAUCUUCUCGUUGCAACCCACUUGCAUUAAACAACAAAUUUGCUUCCCACACUAAAUUUGAGUCCUCAUGACCAAUGUAGUCAGGUUCGGGAUCCUACGUAGGAUCGGUAGGCUGGUGGAGAGUCAUAAGGUCGGGAUCGUAGCUCGAUUCGUAAGAACCUACUCAAGGGUAAAAUGGUAAUUUCACAUAUAUACAUAUACACAAAAACACAAAAAUAAUAAUAAUAAUAAUAAUAAUAAUAAUAAUACAUGAAUAAAAUAAACUAAAUUAAUAUUUCAUAGACAUCAUUCCAAAUGUUCAUAACUUCAUAACAAACCAAGUACUAAGUUCAUAAAACAAGUAACUAGAGGCCUAUGCAUCAUUCAUAAUUAAAGGUCUAUGCAAUGCAUCAUUCACAAAAGAAAGACAAACAGAACAAAAAAUGAAAACAAAGAGAUGAGAUGAAGUACAGAGUAACAGAGAUGAGAUUAAAACAAACGAAAGUGAAGGAAAUAAAGGAGAGGUUGUGUUUGAAACAGAGAAAGUCUAGGGUUUGAAACGAAACGGAAGGUUAGGAAGGAAAUGGUGACGGUCCACUAGGUUUCGCCGUCUACAGCUUUCAUUGUUGGCGACAGCGACGGUGGAGAAGUGAGGAAGCGAUGGUGACUGGUAAUCAGUGAGGAAAGCUGCGUGAUUUUGUUUUAGGUUUGAAUGAAAACACGCGUGAGGAAGGUUGGAAUGAAAACAUGUGUUUUC